GAUGAACGCUAGCGGCAGGCCUAAUACAUGCAAGUCGAGGGGCAGCACGGGUAGCAAUACCUGGUGGCGACCGGCGCACGGGUGCGUAACACGUAUACAAUCUGCCUUUAACAGGGGGAUAGCCCGGAGAAAUCCGGAUUAAUACCCCAUAAUAUAUUGAGUGGCAUCACUUGAUAUUGAAAGCUCCGGCGGUUAAAGAUGAGUAUGCGCCUGAUUAGUUAGUUGGUGAGGUAACGGCUCACCAAGACGACGAUCAGUAGGGGAUCUGAGAGGACUACCCCCCACACGGAUACUGAGACACGGAUCCGACUCCUACGGGAGGCAGCAGUAAGGAAUAUUGGACAAUGCCCGCAAGGGUGAUCCAGCCAUGCCGCGUGCAGGAAGACGGCCCUAUGGGUUGUAAACUGCUUUUACACCGGAGAAAACCCCUUCUCGUGAGAAGGGCUGAUAGUAUGGUGAGAAUAAGCAUCGGCUAACUUCGUGCCAGCAGCCG
rnacentral:rRNA from 1 species